CCUACGGGUGGCAGCAGUGAGGAAUAUUGGUCAAUGGACGAGAGUCUGAACCAGCCAAGUAGCGUGAAGGAUGACUGCCCUCUGGGUUGUAAACUUCUUUUAUAUGGGAAUAAAAUGUUCCACGUGUGGGAUUUUGUAUGUACCAUAUGAAUAAGGAUCGGCUAACUCCGUGCCAGCAGCCGCGGUAAUACGGAGGAUCCGAGCGUUAUCCGGAUUUAUUGGGUUUAAAGGGAGCGUAGGUGGAUUGUUAAGUCAGUUGUGAAAGUUUGCGGCUCAACCGUAAAAUUGCAGUUGAAACUGGCAGUCUUGAGUACAGUAGAGGUGAGCGGAAUUCGUGGUGUAGCGGUGAAAUGCUUAGAUAUCACGAAGAACUCCGAUUGCGAAGGCAGUUCACUGGACUGCAACUGACACUGAGGCUCGAAAGUGUGGGUAUCAAACAGGAUUAGAUACCCGGGUAGUC
rnacentral:rRNA from 1 species